rnacentral:lncRNA from 1 species
AGACCCGGUGAGAGGUACUGGGCGAUGAGGAAGUACAGCUCCAACUCCAUGAGAGGCACCGGGCCUCAGAACCAGGAAGAUCCGGAUAAAGACACUGUCUGCACUCUACUCAGAUGCCCUUUGAGUCUAUGCGCUGUUUCUGGGCUCAUCCUCCAGCCUCAACGUGUUUGCUGAGAAGAAAAAGAGACAUUAUGUCAUUCUUCUGAUUGUGAAUUUAAUUAAAAUCCUGAUUCCUGGAUGGUAUCGUGGGCCUAUUGAAUGAGAAUCUCUGGAGCUAGAACUGGAAAUCUGCAUUUUAACAAAUAAGUCUGGUGAUUUUUAGCAUUCUAACAUUGGAGAACUACUGGUGCUGGAGAGUUCAGAUGACCAAUGGUGAAUUUUAUCUCACAUUACUAGCUUCUUCAGUUUUCUUCCCCUCAGUGCUCAGGUACUCAAUUUGCAUAAUAUUAGAUUGUACUCUUUAUAUAUUGGUUCAGAAAGGUUUUUAAGUGUGUGCUGUGAAUCUGAAGCUAGAUGGAAACUCACUCAAAGCAGGAAUUGUAAUACCCGGUUUUUGUUUUUUUAAUCUCCUUAGACAACUUUGCAUAGUGCAACAAAGUUAUUGACUCAUAGAGAUUCAAAGUACCAAAGAAAAUGAGAUACUUAAUAUUUUAAAAAUAUAAGCCUAUUUUCUGUAUGAGAAAAUGGAGGUAGAGUUUUAAAGUCUUUCAAAGUUUGUCAGGUUUCAUGGUUUUUGAUUUAUUAUUUUUUGAGGUUUUGGAUGAUGAACCUUGACUGAUACUACUCCAGUGAUAUUUUUAAAAGUAUUUUUAUAAGAUGUUUUAGAGGUGUCUCUUUUGUAGGAAAGAGACAUGAGAUAGUAAAUUAGAAUUUUUAUUUAAUUUAAUCCAAGAAUUUGAGACAGUACCUCUUCACAGAGAAUCAAAAAAUAGCUUGAUUUAAUCUGCAGUGUACCUAUCUCUGUGCUUAAAACUGUGGAUCUAUUUCAAUGGAAUGGAACACGAUCCUUAUCCUUGAAGAACUUAACUGUAUUUUACUUGCACUUAAUUUUUGGCAUUGUUUUACAUGUUACUUCAUAUAAUUUUACACUCUAUAAUUAUAUUUCUGGAACAUUUGCA